UACGGGGGGGGCAAGCGUUGUUCGGAAUUACUGGGCGUAAAGGGCUCGUAGGCGGCCAACUAAGUCAGACGUGAAAUCCCCAGGCUCAACCUGGGAACUGCGUCUGAUACUGGAUGGCUUGAAUCCGGGAGAGGGAUGCGGAAUUCCAGGUGUAGCGGUGAAAUGCGUAGAUAUCUGGAGGAACACCGGUGGCGAAGGCAGCACUCUGGGACGUGACUGACGCUGAGACGCGAAAGCGUGGGGAGCAAACAGG
rnacentral:rRNA from 1 species